GCUGGUGAAAAUGAUGACUUUACUUUUUUCCCCAUCUAAUCGACCAUGUUGAUGUCUUUGAAUACUUGCCAGUUGGUUCUGAUACACCGGC
ensembl:snoRNA SNORD12C small nucleolar SNORD12/SNORD106